UACGUAGGGGGCAAGCGUUAUCCGGAUUCACUGGGCGUAAAGGGAGCGCAGGCGGCAUGGUAAGUCUGAUGUGAAAACCCGGGGCCCAACCCCGGGAGUGCAUUGGAAACUGCCAGGCUGGAGUGUCGGAGGGGUAAGCGGAAUUCCUAGUGUAGCGGUGAAAUGCGUAGAUAUUAGGAGGAACACCAGUGGCGAAGGCGGCUUACUGGACGACUACUGACGCUGAGGCCCGAAAGCGUGGGGAGCAAACAGG
rnacentral:rRNA from 1 species